GGGUUGUGAGGUUAAGCGACUAAGCGUACACGGUGGAUGCCCUGGCAGUCAGAGGCGAUGAAGGACGUGCUAAUCUGCGAUAAGCGUCGGUGAGGUGAUAUGAACCGUUAUAACCGGCGAUUUCCGAAUGGGGAAACCCAGUGUGAUUCGUCACACUAUCAUUAACUGAAUCCAUAGGUUAAUGAGGCGAACCGGGGGAACUGAAACAUCUAAGUACCCCGAGGAAAAGAAAUCAACCGAGAUUCCCCCAGUAGCGGCGAGCGAACGGGGAGCAGCCCAGAGCCUGAAUCAGUGUGUGUGUUAGUGGAAGCGUCUGGAAAGGCGCGCGAUACAGGGUGACAGCCCCGUACACAAAAAUGCACAUACUGUGAGCUCGAUGAGUAGGGCGGGACACGUGGUAUCCUGUCUGAAUAUGGGGGGACCAUCCUCCAAGGCUAAAUACUCCUGACUGACCGAUAGUGAACCAGUACCGUGAGGGAAAGGCGAAAAGAACCCCGGCGAGGGGAGUGAAAAAGAACCUGAAACCGUGUACGUACAAGCAGUGGGAGCCUCUUAAUGGGGUGACUGCGUACCUUUUGUAUAAUGGGUCAGCGACUUAUAUUCUGUAGCAAGGUUAACCGAAUAGGGGAGCCGAAGGGAAACCGAGUCUUAACUGGGCGUUAAGUUGCAGGGUAUAGACCCGAAACCCGGUGAUCUAGCCAUGGGCAGGUUGAAGGUUGGGUAACACUAACUGGAGGACCGAACCGACUAAUGUUGAAAAAUUAGCGGAUGACUUGUGGCUGGGGGUGAAAGGCCAAUCAAACCGGGAGAUAGCUGGUUCUCCCCGAAAGCUAUUUAGGUAGCGCCUCGUGAAUUCAUCUCCGGGGGUAGAGCACUGUUUCGGCAAGGGGGUCAUCCCGACUUACCAACCCGAUGCAAACUGCGAAUACCGGAGAAUGUUAUCACGGGAGACACACGGCGGGUGCUAACGUCCGUCGUGAAGAGGGAAACAACCCAGACCGCCAGCUAAGGUCCCAAAGUCAUGGUUAAGUGGGAAACGAUGUGGGAAGGCCCAGACAGCCAGGAUGUUGGCUUAGAAGCAGCCAUCAUUUAAAGAAAGCGUAAUAGCUCACUGGUCGAGUCGGCCUGCGCGGAAGAUGUAACGGGGCUAAACCAUGCACCGAAGCUGCGGCAGCGACGCUUAUGCGUUGUUGGGUAGGGGAGCGUUCUGUAAGCCUGUGAAGGUGUACUGUGAGGUAUGCUGGAGGUAUCAGAAGUGCGAAUGCUGACAUAAGUAACGAUAAAGCGGGUGAAAAGCCCGCUCGCCGGAAGACCAAGGGUUCCUGUCCAACGUUAAUCGGGGCAGGGUGAGUCGACCCCUAAGGCGAGGCCGAAAGGCGUAGUCGAUGGGAAACAGGUUAAUAUUCCUGUACUUGGUGUUACUGCGAAGGGGGGACGGAGAAGGCUAUGUUGGCCGGGCGACGGUUGUCCCGGUUUAAGCGUGUAGGCUGGUUUUCCAGGCAAAUCCGGAAAANNNNNNNNNNNNNNNNNNNNNNNNNNNNNNNNNNNNNNNNNNNNNNNNNNCAUCAAAUCGUACCCCAAACCGACACAGGUGGUCAGGUAGAGAAUACCAAGGCGCUUGAGAGAACUCGGGUGAAGGAACUAGGCAAAAUGGUGCCGUAACUUCGGGAGAAGGCACGCUGAUAUGUAGGUGAAGCGACUUGCUCGUGGAGCUGAAAUCAGUCGAAGAUACCAGCUGGCUGCAACUGUUUAUUAAAAACACAGCACUGUGCAAACACGAAAGUGGACGUAUACGGUGUGACGCCUGCCCGGUGCCGGAAGGUUAAUUGAUGGGGUUAGCGGUAACGCGAAGCUCUUGAUCGAAGCCCCGGUAAACGGCGGCCGUAACUAUAACGGUCCUAAGGUAGCGAAAUUCCUUGUCGGGUAAGUUCCGACCUGCACGAAUGGCGUAAUGAUGGCCAGGCUGUCUCCACCCGAGACUCAGUGAAAUUGAACUCGCUGUGAAGAUGCAGUGUACCCGCGGCAAGACGGAAAGACCCCGUGAACCUUUACUAUAGCUUGACACUGAACAUUGAGCCUUGAUGUGUAGGAUAGGUGGGAGGCUUUGAAGUGUGGACGCCAGUCUGCAUGGAGCCGGCCUUGAAAUACCACCCUUUAAUGUUUGAUGUUCUAACGUUGGCCCCUGAUCGGGGUUGCGGACAGUGUCUGGUGGGUAGUUUGACUGGGGCGGUCUCCUCCUAAAGAGUAACGGAGGAGCACGAAGGUUGGCUAAUCCUGGUCGGACAUCAGGAGGUUAGUGCAAUGGCAUAAGCCAGCUUGACUGCGAGCGUGACGGCGCGAGCAGGUGCGAAAGCAGGUCAUAGUGAUCCGGUGGUUCUGAAUGGAAGGGCCAUCGCUCAACGGAUAAAAGGUACUCCGGGGAUAACAGGCUGAUACCGCCCAAGAGUUCAUAUCGACGGCGGUGUUUGGCACCUCGAUGUCGGCUCAUCACAUCCUGGGGCUGAAGUAGGUCCCAAGGGUAUGGCUGUUCGCCAUUUAAAGUGGUACGCGAGCUGGGUUUAGAACGUCGUGAGACAGUUCGGUCCCUAUCUGCCGUGGGCGCUGGAGAACUGAGGGGGGCUGCUCCUAGUACGAGAGGACCGGAGUGGACGCAUCACUGGUGUUCGGGUUGUCAUGCCAAUGGCACUGCCCGGUAGCUAAAUGCGGAAGAGAUAAGUGCUGAAAGCAUCUAAGCACGAAACUUGCCCCGAGAUGAGUUCUCCCUGACUCCUGGAGAGUCCUGAAGGAACGUUGUAGACGACGACGGUGAUAGGCCGGGUGUGUAAGCGCAGCGAUGCGUUGAGCUAACCGGUAC
rnacentral:rRNA from 1 species